rnacentral:misc_RNA from 1 species
AGGAACCGUGUGCCGGAAAGCUGCUCGCACGGGUCUGUGGGGGGCGGGGAGGCAACGAACUGCUCUACCCGGAA